AACGAACGCUGGCGGCAUGCCUAACACAUGCAAGUCGAACGAGACCUUCGGGUCUAGUGGCGCACGGGUGCGUAACGCGUGGGAACCUGCCCUUAGGUUCGGAAUAACUCCCCGAAAGGGGUGCUAAUACCGGAUAAUGUCUUCGGACCAAAGAUUUAUCGCCUUUGGAUGGGCCCGCGUUGGAUUAGCUAGUUGGUAGGGUAAAAGCCUACCAAGGCGACGAUCCAUAGCUGGUCUGAGAGGAUGAUCAGCCACACUGGGACUGAGACACGGCCCAGACUACGAGGGGGGGGAGAAGAGAGGGAUACGGGACGGAGGGCAAAAGAGUGACAGGACAAGGAGGGGGGGAUGGAGAAGGUCGUUGUGUUGGAAGUCUCGAGUACAGGGAAAGGGGAUGACGGGACCGGGAGAAUAAGCCCAGCAAACCACAGCGGCAGCGGAGGCAAAACGACAAGACCAGGGCCGACC
rnacentral:rRNA from 1 species